AUUUAAAUAGUUUAAAAUUUAAAAUAAUGAUUUGUGGAAUCAUUGAUGUUUAUUGACUUUAAAUU
rnacentral:tRNA from 1 species